GACGAACGCUGGCGGCGUGCUUAACACAUGCAAGUCGAACGGAAAGGCCCUGCUUUUGUGGGGUGCUCGAGUGGCGAACGGGUGAGUAACACGUGAGUAACCUGCCCUUGACUUUGGGAUAACUUCAGGAAACUGGGGCUAAUACCGGAUAGGAGCUCCUGCUGCAUGGUGGGGGUUGGAAAGUUUCGGCGGUUGGGGAUGGACUCGCGGCCUAUCAGCUUGUUGGUGGGGUAGUGGCUUACCAAGGCUUUGACGGGUAGCCGGCCUGAGAGGGUGACCGGCCACAUUGGGACUGAGAUACGGCCCAGACUCCUACGGGAGGCAGCAGUGGGGAAUAUUGCACAAUGGGCGGAAGCCUGAUGCAGCAACGCCGCGUGCGGGAUGACGGCCUUCGGGUUGUAAACCGCUUUCGCCUGUGACGAAGCGCGAGUGACGGUAAUGUGUAAAGAAGCACCGGCUAACUACGUG
rnacentral:rRNA from 1 species